ACAAUCGUAUAUGUACAUGUAUACCUUCGACCCCUCGAGUUGCCCCGGUAUAACCUCAGCGGCAUCUUCUUUCAAAGGGAAUUGAACAGCGGGACUUUUUUGGACGCUGCCAUUCCUCUUGCACUGUGAACAUGUAAAGGAAGCUCUGAAGACAUUUUUCAAAAUGAGGUAUAACGCCAAAAACAAUUCGUCAUUCUUUCGCUGUGAAAGUCGAUUUGUGCCUUUUGAAGCGUUGGUCUUGCAUCGACCGAAAAAUCAACCCGUGUCCUCUGCGAUCCUCUCGAAUUUUCUUUCAUCUGCGUACGGCAGAUCAAGCGAGUAAGCCGGCUGAACUCGGAUCACAAUAUACCGUACACAUUGUACACGCAUACGGAGGUAUAACAAAUCUCCUCUUUAAUAACACUUGCGCGCAUCAAAAACGUCUACCUGCGAGCACCAUAUAAUUCCGAUUAUUAAAAUAUUCAACGAGCCAACUCCCGGCAUCCCUUGGUCAAUUAAAUAUUUACUCAAAGAAUCGCGUUCGAAGGGAGAGGUACGCUGAAAAAGCGGGAAUUCAAGGGCAAACGAUGGAAGUCCCCCCGUUCUCGCGGAAGCAGAAAUAAAAAAUAGAAAACCAAGGGUAAAAGUAAAGACGAUAAGAAAAGAACAGGUUAUUUUAUUAAUCACUUUCAUUGUUUAUCCACGACUUAAUUCCAAUUGAAUAUGCACCGUUGUGAAUUUAAUUUUUCAAGAAAGAUUACAUUUCCGAGACGACCGUCGCCGCGUGAGGUUCCUACGCGCGGCCGUUGCUGUUCUAAAAAAAAAGAAUUAGUUACGGAGAAAUACAACCCCGCAGGAGAUUCCGGACCAUCGGAACUAUGGCAAGUGGGAAUAGUGGACAAAAGCAGGGAACACCGACGACGUACCCAUGGGCAACCAGCACCACUGACCACCUGCUUUGUGCGUGUAAUUGGAUUUAUGUCCAGUGAAUACCCGCCAGAGCCUACCUACUACCGCAACCAACCAACCAACCAACGAACCUACGGGCUACAUUCUCCAUUCCCUCCGCACCCGACAUACAAUCUCCAAACCGCAAACCGACUAGCGCGAUGCCUCUAACUCUUCCUGUCUUGAUGCUACUUUGCGCGGUUGCUGGUUGGCAUGUAUACAGCUACAGAUAUAAAUGCAUAGUACAUAGUUAGCUGGGUUUCUUGCUUCGAGUACUAGAUCUUCUCGCGUAUGCCGACGGUUUAUGUGCAUAAGUCUCAUUCGAAGCGGGUUCAAGGUGGAAAAUUCCUCGUGGGCACGAUUUAAUGAAUGAGGGGUUGUUUUCGCGCCAUGUCGGGAACGAGAGAAGAAUCUUUUUUUUAUCCUUCAGCGACGACGUCGGGGACUGUGGCGAAACUUUUCCAUCGCGGAAACACAACGGCUUCCUUAUACCUUUGAGGAUUUGAUUGCCAACAACUAACGAAAAUGCAGAUCGUCGAGUAUUACUGCUGCAGUGCGAUCGUAUAAGUGCAGCGGAAGGUUGGAAAAGAAGAGGAGAGACUACUGAAUACGGAACGGUUCGAUCACAGCCGGGCUCAUUCAACGAUGAUAGGUAUUAUUGAGUUAAAUCUACGAGGCGAGUCAAUAUUUCUUUAUACUCCUAUGUACACCAGACUUCGUCGCAA